GUUAAUUAAUCUAUUAAUGGAUAGAAUAUUAAUAAAAAUAAAUAAGGGGCUGUAAGCAUAGUGAUUACAGUACUAAAGGGUUUAUGUAAGCUGUAUUUAGAACUUACUGGGAGAUUUUAAUGCCAACCACCCUGCCUUUAUUUAAACAAAACCACAGAUGAGUUCACUUGGAAGGUGAGGAGGAAUCAGUGGAUUGAGUACUCCCAGGGAUGUUAAGAAAAGUUCUCUGAUAUCCAGAAAGAUAGAUGUCCUAUCAGCAGCAGCAGCAAUAGUGCAAGCAGCCCUGCCAACGACCUCUUGUGCUCCCACCUCCCAAGUGCCCAGCCCCAUGCCCACCGCCGAAGUGCCCAGUGCCAUGCCCACCUCCAGAGUUUCCACCUCAACUCUGCCAGCAGCAGUGUCCCCCUGUGCAGCCACCACCGUGCCAGCAGAAGUGACCACCCAGGAGCAGUAAGAGCAAAAGCCAUCAAGACCAUCGUGCAAACAAAUCACAGGGUCAGGCUCCUCUCUGAAUUAGGACCACUCUUCCCCAGAGCCCCAGGAAAAGCAUCGGGAACAAGUCUACCUUUCUUAAAAUACAGCCUUUCUUCGAUCUGUGCCUAAGACCUGGGCAAGGAUUAUUUUCUUUUCCUUUCUUCUUCUUUUUUUUUUUUUGUGGGGGGGGGGGGAGUGGGGGGAUUUGGAUAAAUAAAACUUUACUUCUCCUUCCCUAAUAAAGCA
rnacentral:lncRNA from 1 species